rnacentral:misc_RNA from 1 species
UGAAACAUUUUACUGUAAUUUUGUGACGAUGAGUUUACUAGUCUUUGAGUUUCAUAGAAUAUAGUGUUUGGCCAUGAUGUGUUGGGAACCUUUGGCUGGGAAUCAUAAACACAACAAGAAAGAGGGAAAAAUAUUGAAUCACUGAUCGGGAAGCCCAACUUCAAAAGUUCCAUAACUUAUUUCAUAAAAUUCUAUAAUGCUUCAUACAAAUUAUAAUUAAAAUGAUUGAAAUUUGCAAUAAGAUUAGAAGAUAAAAGAAAAUUGCUUCUGAUGAAGAAAAUUAGUUACCAAGUCAAAAAAAAAAAA